UUUUAUGAGAAUAAAACGAGUGAGAUUUAAAGUUUAUGCUCUUUCUUUGAUACUAUUAUGUAACACAUUUUUCGUUCCUGGGUAGUAAGUGUUACUUCCUAAUUGCUUAUGCCUAAAAAGUGUACAAUAUGGCUGUUAUUCCCUUCAAACUUUGCUUUUGUGAUCUGGAUAAUGAUAUUUUGAAAUCUACCUAUUUCCAAUGGGCAAGCAGGCGAUUUUGCACAUUUUCAUUCACAUAAAGUCAGAAAAAAAACAACACGUGAACCAAAGUCAUCUGUAUAAAGGUGUGCAAAACAAUUGCAAGAGCAACUUAGUUUCAGAAAGAUAGGCGUGAAGGAGAAAGACAAAAUAAUAUCAAGCUAAACCUAUAUCAUUUGGAUCACAUUUACGAUAUUUAAGGCAUAUUUUAGCUGGACCUGCCUCCCUCCCCCGCCCCUUCCCCCACGCCCCUUCCCAGGUGUUUCUGGGAAAAAAACUUCAAUUUAGAGCAUCUCUUCAACAGGAGACCGACCACCGAGAAUCGGCUGUCAAGACGAAGUUUGACAUUUCAGCUAGCGUCAGUCGAGCCCGUCGUCACGGCAUGAGUUGGUACAUGGCGUAGAGGCAGCAAAGUUGACAAGAGAGCAGGAAAAGACAAGAGGGUGGAGCGAGCAGUGGGGGUGUGUAAGAAAGUGAUGGCUGCCUUCACUUUCUCCUGAAAGAAGAGAGACAUGGCGAUUGCCCAGGAGGAGCAUCACCUACCCCAAUACAAGCUGGUGAAGGAGUCGCUUUUUCUGUUUUUGUAUAUGUUCUCCGUUUACAUUUGAAAGCUGCUUGAAUUUGUACUGAGGAUAUAUUCAGAAUGUUUUUUGUUUUUUGUCUAUUUAUUUGUGGGUUUGUUUUCCAACAAUUUAAAACAGUUUUAAUAUAUACAAAGGAUACAGUGAGGUAGUUGUUUUUUUUAUAGAUUUUAUUUUGUGUUAUUACCUACUUUAUUUAUUUGGAACUGACCAAAGAAUUUAGUUUGUGUUCUCCCGAAAACCUGAAAGCUUUUGACUGGUCAGAUUUGAGACUUUUCUAUUUUGUAUUACUUUUGUUUGAUUGUUUGUUUGUUUGUUUGUUUUAUUUGUAACUGACCAAAUAAUUUAGUUGUCCAUUUUGUCUGUGUUCUCCUUUAACACUUGAAGCUUCUGACUGGUAAGAAUUAAGAUUUUAGUUUAUUAUAUAAUCAUUUUAUUUAUUUGAAAUACAGUUCUACAGUGUUCUACAGUACAUUUGAUAUGUUAAACUUCUGACAGAAAAUAAAUAAUAUUUAAACCAAUAUUA